UACAGAGGUCUCAAGCGUUGUUCGGAUUCAUUGGGCGUAAAGGGUGCGUAGGUGGCGCUGUAAGUCAGGUGUGAAAUUUCGGAGCUUAACUCCGAAACUGCAUUUGAUACUGCGGUGCUCGAGGACUGGAGAGGAGACUGGAAUUUACGGUGUAGCAGUGAAAUGCGUAGAGAUCGUAAGGAAGACCAGUGGCGAAGGCGGGUCUCUGGACAGUUCCUGACACUGAG
rnacentral:rRNA from 1 species